UAAGACGAACCGUGCGAACGUUAUUCGGAAUCACUGGGCUUAAAGCGCGUGUAGGCGGAACGGCACGUCGGUCGCUGAAAGCCCCCGGCUCAACCGGGGAACGGGCGCCGAUACGACCGUUCUCGAGGGACGUAGGGGGACCUGGAACUUCCGGUGGAGCGGUGAAAUGCGUUGAGAUCGGAAGGAACGCCCGUGGCGAAAGCGAGGUCCUGGACGUUUUCUGACGCUGAGACGCGAAAGCCAGGGGAGCGAACGGG
rnacentral:rRNA from 1 species